GACGAACCGUGCAAACGUUAUUCGGAAUCACUGGGCUUACAGGGUGCGUAGGCGGCUCAACAAGUCAGGUGUGAAAGCCCCCGGCUCAACCGGGGAACUGCGCUUGAAACUGUUAGGCUCGAGUCAGCUAGAGGUACACGGAACUUCCAGUGGAGCGGUGAAAUGUGUUGAUAUUGGAAGGAACACCGGAGGCGAAAGCGGUGUACUGGGGCUGGUCUGACGCUGAGGCACGAAAGCCAGGGGAGCGAACGGG
rnacentral:rRNA from 1 species